UGUACUUGUUUGACAAACUUGGUUUCCAUUUUUUGGGUUAACUAAAUACUGAAUUAGCAUAAAAAUUAGGCAUUUCUUAUAACAUGAAUUGCUACAAAUUUCUCCGUUCUGAAAAAGUGAAAAAUGCAUCUUUUAUCUACCUAUAAAAGAAAUUUAACAAAGUCGAAGCUGCUUAUUCGUGCAAGUGGAUUCCAGAACAAAAAGAGCUAAAAUCAACAGACACUUAUUUAAAUAAAACUCGUUCUGCCCCUUUUCCGGAGCAGCGGAAAACUUUUUCUCUCAUUCUGCGUCUCUGCAAUCUGUUGCUUCCUUCGUUGCUCUUGUUUGUUUUCACGAAAUUUUCCUAACUGUUCUGACUAGUCCCGCCCGGGAAUCCGGUGCCGAUUCAAUUCAUUUUUUCUUUGGCAGUUUGUACUCUCUUCCAUUUCUAUUUUUCCUACAGAAAGUAUUUGAUCAAUUUUAAUUACUUUUUUCUUUUCUUAAUCUACUCUCGAAUCUGCUUUCAAAUCAUUUUUCUCACCUUCCUGUCCAACGCUUUCAAUCGAAUUAAUUAUUCUCUCCCUAUUGGAAAAUUGCAACUGCUCCAAAGUCUCGGAAAACAAGCACUGAUUGACACAUUCGUUUUCGAUCGCGACCGUUCUUCCCAUACCAAGUCAGUUGAAGUUUAUAUAAAGUGAUUAAUUCGAAAAAGAACUCUUUAAACAAUAAAUCGAUCAGCCGUGAAAAAAAAACGUUAGCACAAAAGUAGUCACAGCGACAUCCCACAGCCACUCGAUUGAAGUUUGAACAACACCAAUCACCGAACACCCAAACAACAGCGAGAAAAAAUCAAAAUCCUCGAACAAAGUUAAAUUGAGUUAAUAAACUAUGAAGCAAGGACAACCACCCAGCCCACCCACCACGGAACAGGCGACGAAGCGCGAACUCACAAAAGCAGAGUGCACAGCCUGACGGCAUCAUCGAUUGCAUCUCAUUCCACGAAGGAGGCAGACUUUAAAGUCAGCAGCUGUUAGCGAAGUCUGGCGGACUGCAGCUCCCCGCUCAGAGCCAGUCGGUGUCGUGCAUUUCCGGGUGCGCCAAUAUCCAGCCGUGUUCCGUGAAUCCUAACGCCUCAUGGUAUUGGAGCGUUUAUUUUUUGCACUUUCGUAGCCCGUUACUUCCGAGAGAUUUUUUAUCCGUACGCCGCGCCCAACUUUGAUCUUCUCCACGGUAGUGUGCCAGUCAGUGGAAUUGUUCGGUCGCGAUGGUGAAGAAACAGUGAGUUCGAGUGAGCUGAGGCUCCGCUGCCGUUAGACAGUCGAAUCCACAAGGAUGCGCCCAUCCUCUGCCAAUCCUGAAGAUGUUUAAUGUUCAGAAAGAUGCCAAAUACUGUUGAAAGGAUCAGCAACAGAAUCAAACUUCGGUGAUCUAUGAUGGAUCAUACUUGGAUUUAGGAGGAGCACAUCAUCGGGUACUCCAGGUAAAGAUAUUUCAAUCUCAAUUAAAGAAUAAAUACAGCUGAGAUUAGACUUAAGCGACAUGACAUGACAUGUUACAGAUUUGACAUGUCCAACUUUAACGUAUUUUGCAAUAACCUUACAAUAAUAGUAGGUAUCAUAAUGUGGGAGAAAAUGAUGAAAUCGGUUUUUGAUAACGAGUUUUCAGUGACACUCCACAGUGACAAAAACAUCCUAGAUACGAACUGAACAUCGACUAG